UAGGGAAUCUUCCACAAUGGACGCAAGUCUGAUGGAGCAACGCCGCGUGAGUGAAGAAGGUUUUCGGAUCGUAAAGCUCUGUUGUUGGUGAAGAAGGAUAGAGGCAGUAACUGGUCUUUAUUUGACGGUAAUCAACCUGAAAGUCACGGCUAACUACGUGCCAGCAGCCGCGGUAAUACGUAGGUGGCAAGCGUUGUCCGGAUUUAUUGGGCGUAAAGCGAGCGCAGGCGGAAUGAUAAGUCUGAUGUGAAAGCCCACGGCUCAACCGUGGAACUGCAUCGGAAACUGUCAUUCUUGAGUGCAGAAGAGGAGAGUGGAAUUCCAUGUGUAGCGGUGGAAUGCGUAGAUAUAUGGAAGAACACCAGUGGCGAAGGCGGCUCUCUGGUCUGCAACUGACGCUGAGGCUCGAAAGCAUGGGUAGCGAACAGG
rnacentral:rRNA from 1 species